UAUUAUAUUUUGUUCAUUUUUGUGUUAAUUCUUUUUGAAAUUAUUUGAACAUUCAGAAACACCAUCCCAUCACUACGGGUUGCAGAAUGGAGAUCACAUGGAUUUGCAGCCUAACUUCUUAGACUGAGGUGCUCACACCAUGACCAUGCUAGCCCGAGUAAGAUGUGGAUCAAGAUGUCUCAGUUGUUCCUGCCACUAUACUAUGUUUGUGCUCCAUCAUCACAGACUCUCACCCUCUGAAAAACUAAGCCCAUUAAAUGCUUUCUUUUAAAAGUA